CACGUAGGGUGCGAGCGUUGUCCGGAAUUAUUGGGCGUAAAGAGCUCGUAGGCGGUUUGGCAAGUCGGAUGUGAAAGCUCCGGGCUCAACCCGGAGACGCCAUUCGAUACUGCCAUGACUAGAGUCCGGUAGGGGGGUGUGGAAUUCCACGUGUAGCAGUGAAAUGCGUAGAGAUGUGGAGGAACACCGAUGGCGAAGGCAGCCCCCUGGGCUAACACUGACGCUCAUGCACGAAAGCGUGGGGAGCAAACAGG
rnacentral:rRNA from 1 species